rnacentral:sRNA from 1 species
AUGCUUGUCCUUGUAGCAGCUGUUGUACCAUCUGUUUCAUUUCAGCAUCAGGAGCAGCAAGACCUUGGUUUU